rnacentral:misc_RNA from 1 species
GAACGCACAUUGCGCCCACUGGUAUUCCGGUGGGCAUGCCUGUUCGAGCGUCAUUAUCCUCCCUCAAACCUCGGGUUUGGUGUUGGACCCAAGUUGUGUGAACAACUGGUCUCAAAGACAAUGACGGCGUCCGUGGGACCCUCGGUGCAACGAGCUUUUAAACGAGCACGCGUCGAGUUUCAAGGACCUUCCGGGCCGGUCUCCUUCUUUUAUUUACAAAGGUUGACCUCGGAUCAGGUAGGAAUACCCGCUGAACUUAAG